AACAAACAACUACUGGAACUUGUUGGCGAGGGAGUGUUCAGGGGCCCUGAACACUCCCACGAGAGAGAGACUGCAUUACAUAUCAGCCUAAAAGGCUUUUCCUGGACUAAAGUUAAAAGGAGGGGCUUAAAAGGACUGAUAGAAGUGUAAUAUAUAUAUAUAUAUAUAGUUGCUUUUGGCUUGUAUAGUAUUUAUUUGUGUAAAUAAAUGUAUAUACUUCCCC